CAUGAGGAGGAGCUCUGCUGUCAGGUUCUGGGCUUUUAUCACAAAUUGCCUCCCCAACCCAAGCCACUGGGGCUAAAACCACAUAGCCAGGGGCAGGCGGUGAGCCAGGACUGCCUGUACUUAUCUCAGACCUUCUCCUGCCCAAGGAGAUGGACAUCCUAAAGCCAGUUGGUGUUUAGCCUCUGGUAUCCUGGUGUGCCUCACAGAGGGGCUUUCACUCAUUACUGCUUAUGCAGUGUCACAAGAUGUUCCAACAGAAGUUUUUCUGAUUGCAAGCCAUUAUAAUAAUUUUUGUAUAUGAUUAUGUUUCCUGGCAGGGGAUCCAGUCUGCCAGGCACACGCCUGCUCUGGAGAAAACAAAAAAAAACCAGUUAUUUUGAAAUUCCACCUUCUUCACCCUGGGCUUCUUUCUGAAGCUGCUGCAGAUGUGGCAGGGUGUGCAUUAACAUGCUGCUGGCCUGCUGCCUUCCUGGGAGUCUUGGAGGAGGAAAUGCAUCAAUCUGCUGUGACCUGGAUCCUGUGCUCUGGGGUUCAGAAAUCCCAGCAGACCCUUGGGGUCAAUAUAUCCAAAGGAAAGUGCGAAGUCACGAAUCUCAUGUGUUGGCUGGAUAAAUCCAUUCCAACAGGAACAUGUUGCAGCACUGAAAGCCAACAGGAGAUGCUCUUUCACGGAGCAAAUUCCCAUCCCAGUGUGUUUCCAGAGAAAACAUUCCCAGCAGCAUCACUGGUGAGCACUGAGGAGAGGGAGAUAGUGGGCAAAUCCUGUAUUUGGUACUCUGCACCAGCACCCUCCUUUCCAAAUGGAGCAAUCUCCCAGGGAAAGCACCCAAGUAAUGGAAAGGCCUCAGAUAUUCCUUCUUUGACUUAUUUUUUAGUCAUUCCCAUUUUCUCAAUAACUUUCUCAAAACCUGCAUAGCAAUUGUUGGGUCCCAUCAGAAUCCAGCAGGUGCUCCGAGGUCCUCUCCGACUUGGCAUUGAACAAGAGUCAUCCUAAGCUGGAACAAAUAAGGAGAAAGAUCCCAAAACUUUGGAUGUGAGGGGGUGCAUCCCCUGCACCCUGAAGUUGUGCUGGAGACACUGUUGCAGUGUCCCCAUGGUCCCCUACAAGAGCCAGAGAGUUUCAGAUCUCAGGACAGGCCUCCUGGCAAGAUCCACAUCCCCAACACUUCUUGGACCCAAACCCACAUGUUAUGAAUGACUAACUCUAAUUCCUAAGAGGAGUAUAUCAUCCAGAUUAUUUUACUUUUUGGCCUUCACUGAGUGUCUGUGACAUAAUAAAGAAGAAUAAUUGACAACCAAAGAGACCUGCCAUCCUGACACUUUACCGACAGCCUAUUUUGAGACACCAGAACUGCAACUCAGUGGUUCUAGAAGUUGUAAAAACUGCUGUAAAAACCAGUCUCUGUCCAAGCAGUUGUAAAAACUUGUCUCCAAUAAUGAGGGGGCACGACUGCUGCUGGGUUCCUUGGCAUGUGGGUGUCCCUGGGACGAGGUGAUUGUGCCCCAUCUCCACAGCAUCUAACCCCAUGGGAUGCAUGGGAACCCAGUGGCUGUUGGGGAGGACAAAGCAGCACCAGGGUGGGCUUUUUGUCCACCCCAGCCAUGCUGUAAAGAGAGCAUUUAAUCCCCUUGCUAGUGACAGAGAGGGGAGUUAGCCAAGAGCAAAGCUGGGCACAGUGAGGGCUUGCUCCUCCGUGAGAUGUCAAAAAUGCCUCUGGAGAGGGGCAGAGCAAAAAGCACAAAAUCUCCCUUAUCCACAGCUUUCCAACACCAGGACAUCCCAGCAUCUUCCCCACAGUGCUGGCACCUUCAAACCUGCAGAAAUCUCCCACUCUCAGUGUUAACAGGAGCAGUGUGCAUGCUGUGCAUGCAUGCAUAUAUAUUCUGGAGCACCCUUUUGGGGUGCAAGGCCAUGCAAUUAGUAGCACAGCCCUGCCAGGGGCUCAUUAAGGGCCAGGGAAGGCAGCGUGAGGCUGCAGCCAGGAAUUAGCACCGAGGUGCCACUCACUUUGUUUCAAAGAGCUCUUUCGACUCGGGCCAUAAAAUUAAUGUCUGAGCAGAUAGCUGGGAAAAUAAGAGGCUCUAUAAAGCAACUUGGUGCUUGGCAGGGGAAUUGAGAUGAGUUGCAUUUGGGAGACGCUGGGGUCUGAUUGUAUUUCUCUCCCCUCUGGAGAUGCUGAGUGCCCUGGCACAGCAGGUCCCACAUUGUCAUCCCUCCACCUCCCACCCCCAGCUCUCCCUGACCCUCAGCUCCCCACUACUGCUCUCCUUCUGCUUCUUAUUAAUCCAUCUGGCUUUUUUUGUCUCGGUUCCUCCAUCCCUUGCACAUUUGUCCAGCCCUCCAGACACUCAGUCCUUGCUUUAUUCUCUGUCUCUUGGGCCCAGCCUCUACCUUUUGCUCCUGGUUAGAGCCUUACCUAUUUAUAUGCUUAACCUUUGCCUCUCUUUCCUCUGUCUCUUUAAUCCACACAUCGAUCUCGUUUAUGGCCUCCAUCACUCAUUACCUGUGAGCUAAUGCUGUCCCAUCUCUGUGCCCUCUCUCCUAAGCCAUCCUCAGCUCUGGCUCCUCCACACCCCAAGUUGUGGUGGCAGAAGACAUUUUGGCACAUGAGCAUGAGGUGCAGGAACUCAGCAUCCCCCCACCAAGGAUGCUGUCCCUUCCCUGACACAUUUUUUGCCCCAUUUUGAGGGCUAGGCUUUGCCUUGUGCAUGGGCAUGAAGAAACCUGCAGUGGACAAACAUGUGUGGGGUACCCAACCUCCUGCAUCCCUUCACCUGUGGAUGCUGGAGAUCUGAGCACCCUGCAGAGGACAGUAGCUCUGGGGACAAAGCUCAUUUCGGUGAUGCUCUGAGGUUGGUACCCAGGGCAGCUUUCCCAAGCUUCCUGGCAGCUCAAAUUCAAGCCUGGAGGAUCAUCAGCUAAUGAUCAUCAGCUCAAUGCAUUGCCCCGUUGCUGCACCCAGCUGGCUGCUCUGGCACCCCAGCUCCACGCCUUUCCUUGCCCUCCCACCCCGUCACUGCAUCCCAUAAAGUUGCCUCAUGGAGUCCAGCCUGUAAUUUUUCCGCCUCCUCUCCCUCCCCAGGUGGUGGGAAUUUUCCUCUUGCUGAUUCACGCCUCCGUCGCGUCACACUUUUUUUUAGCGCUGACGCUGCUGCGCUCACCCCAGGGAGAGGCUGAAACCCCAAGCUGCUGCCUCGGGGACUGGCCCUCUGCCAGCCACGUGCUGCCAACUCAGCCCAAAGCCUGCACCUGUGCUAAGCAAACCCAAACCUCUCCCACUGCCGGGGUCAA